rnacentral:rRNA from 1 species
UACGUAGGGUGCGAGCGUUAAUCGGAAUUACUGGGCGUAAAGCGUGCGCAGGCGGUCUGUUAAGACCGAUGUGAAAUCCCCGGGCUUAACCUGGGAACUGCAUUCGAGACUGCGUAGCUAGGGUGCGGAAGAGGGAAGCGGAAUUCCGGUGUAGCGGUGAAAUGACGUAGAUAUCGGAAGGAACACCAGUGGCGAAAGCGGACUUCCUGGUCCAGCACCG